ACAUCAACAGGAAAGGUAACUAAGACAGUGUAUGGAGAAUCACUGUGAUCUCUACUUUAACACUGGACCCGGGGGAUAGCAACCUUUUCAAACUUAAAAAGACCUAAGGAGGCUGGCGCAUUUCCAGUGUAGGGAGGAAAGAUUUCAGAAAAUCAGGGUUUGAGGAGAGCUUCAAGAUAACCUAAGUCUUGUCAUUUCCAAACUUAGCUAAAUAGCAACUUCUGGGGAGAUGUUCCCAAAUGUUCAUGUCAUAUAUUUAAGGAAGUAGAUGAGAACCAGGAAGAAUAAGAAGGCAAGAAAGUCCAGGUGUGAGAAACAGCAGGAUCACUGCAGUAGGUGCAGAGGGGGAGCUACAGAGAAGGGGCAGUAAAGGCUCCAGAGACAACUCAUUAAGAACUACCCUCAAAAUCUGAGAAGAAAAUCCCCAAAGACUGUCUGUAUGUAUGUUCAGAACUGCCUGCAGCCCAGCAGCCUGGUGAGGGUGUGGCGGUGGAGUGGUCUGGUUAUGAACCACAAGUUUGCAUUAGAUCAAGGAGAAGAGCUUCACUCUUCUAGACUCAGAAAGACUUUAUCCUAUGGAGAUUAAUUUAGGUUACAUUACCAUAGAUGGAGUCUCAGUCCAAACCCAGGAUGUCCUCAAAACUCACGAUCCUCUUGCCUCAGCCUCCUGUAGCCUGGGAUUAUAGACAUGGACCUCUGCACAUUGCUUGACUACACUCAGUCUUAAUUCUCUUGUUCCUGAAUGAGAUGAGACAAUGGAGUUCUGGGAAGACCGAAUGUCCCCAUCCACCAUCAGAGCUGGGUCUCCAUUCAGGUUCCCGACUCCCUGUGAGACACGUGUCGUGCUCUCCCCUUCAGUUGUUUGUGGGCACCGACACAGGCACCUCCCACACAGAACACUCACUUCCUCCCAUCCUCCUUCAGACUCACGUGUCACACAUGAGCAUGGGUCACCCCAGGAGGGCACACCAUCAUUUUUUCCCCUUCUUUCUUUCUGUCCACUUUCUACACAGAAAUGGGCUUGUAUGUACACU
rnacentral:lncRNA from 1 species